AUACGGAGGGUGCAAGCGUUACUCGGAAUCACUGGGCGUAAAGCGCGCGCAGGCGGGCUGAUAAGUUGGAUGUGAAAGCCUACGGCUCAACCGUAGAACUGCAUCCAAAACUGUCAGUCUAGAGUCUGGGAGGGGAAGAUGGAAUUAGUUGUGUAGGGGUAAAAUCCGUAGAGAUAACUAGGAAUACCAAAAGCGAAGGCGAUCUUCUGGAACAGUACUGACGCUGAGGCGCGAAAGCGUGGGGAGCAAGCAGGAUUAGAAACCCUAGUAGUCC
rnacentral:rRNA from 1 species